rnacentral:rRNA from 1 species
CAAGGCCUGCCGCUUGGAGCCGAGCCCGUGCACUAUCAGCUGGUUGGCGGGGUAACGGCCCACCAAGGCGAUGACGGUUAGCUGGUCUGAGAGGAUGGUCAGCCACACUGGGACUGAGAUACUGCCCCAGACUCCUACGGGAGGCUGCAGUCGAGAAUCAUUCGCAAUGGGCGGAAGCCUGACGGUGCGACGUCGCGUGGAGGAUGAAGGUCUUCGGAUUGUAAACUCCUGUCAUGUGGAAUAAACGGCCUCGGUGCGAACAGCACGGAGGAGUGAUAGUACCACAGGAGGAAGAGACGGCUAACUCUGUGCC